UGUGCCCAGAUGGGAUUAGCUAGUAGGUGGGGUAACGGCUCACCUAGGCGACGAUCCCUAGCUGGUCUGAGAGGAUGACCAGCCACACUGGAACUGAGACACGGUCCAGACUCCUACGGGAGGCAGCCAUG
rnacentral:rRNA from 1 species